GUGGGGAAUAUUGCACAAUGGGGGAAACCCUGAUGCAGCGACGCCGCGUGAGUGAAGAAGUAUUUCGGUAUGUAAAGCUCUAUCAGCAGGGAAGAAAAUGACGGUACCUGACUAAGAAGCCCCGGCUAACUACGUGCC
rnacentral:rRNA from 1 species